rnacentral:rRNA from 1 species
GACGAACGCUGGCGGCGUGCCUAAUACAUGCAAGUAGGACGCAGUUGCGAACGGGUGAGUAACGCGUAGGAACCUGCCUAUUAGAGGGGGAUAACUAUUGGAAACGAUAGCUAAUACCGCAUACUAGUAGAUGGAGCUGCGUUGUAUUAGCUAGUGGGGGGGGUAAUGGCCUACCUAGGCGACGAUACAUAGCCGCCCUGAGAGGGUGAUCUGCCACACGUGAACUGAGACACGUUCCAGACUCCUACGGUAGGCAGCAGUGGGGAAUAUUGGACAAUGGGCGAAAGCCUGAUCCAGCCAUGCCGCGUGUGUGAAGAAGGUCUUCGGAUUGUAAAGGACUUUAAGUUGGGAGGCGUUACCAACAGAAUAAGCACCGGCUAACUUCGUGCCAGCCGCCGCGGUAAUAC